CUCCUCAGAAACAAUCGGCCUGGAAGGUUAUAUUUAAAAAGAAAGUUUCUCUUUUGAAUAUUGCCACAAGAAUAAUGGGCGGUGGGAAAUCUGGAACAGUGUCUUCUCAGAAACAACCAGCCUCAAAGGCUGCAAGUGACAAGACAGAUUCUGCUUUGAAUAAAGCUACAGAAAUAAAGGAUGGACUACAAUGUGGGACAGUGUCUUCUCAGAAACAACCAGCCUUGAAGGCUACAACUGACGAGGAAGGUUCU
rnacentral:lncRNA from 1 species